rnacentral:tRNA from 1 species
GGUGGCUCAGUAGUAGAGUGCUUGCAUUGCAUGCAUGAAGCCCUGAGUUCAAUUCCUCAGCACCA